rnacentral:lncRNA from 1 species
UUCAAAUCAAACCCACUUGAAAGAGAGAUCCUAGAGUAUCGACAAACAGAGUACUUAUCUUAAACACUCUAAUGGCCACAGUGAAAAACCCAAUCAAACAAACACUAGAAGGUAUGGUAUACUUCUUCAGCUUAACCACAAAAGGGUAAAUGCUAAUACAUGAAUAGUUCUGUAGUCCACACAUACAAUAAUGAGGGAAUCAUAAACAUCAUCCACAAGCAAUGCCUAUAUCAAACAAGCUUUGUCAAAAAGCUUCAAACUUCAACAUAGCAAUACAAAGAACUAUUUAGAUACUUUCGCGUGGAUCAGUCAAGGAGGUCUUUGAUCAGUGCAGGACUUAUGAGGGCAGCUAAUUGAUGAUAAAGAAGCACAAGGAGACCAAUGUAUAUAGGGAGAAUUCUAGAUUGGCAAUCAAUAAUAGAAAGCAACCCCAAGCCUUUAAAAAUCGACCCAUCAGAUUGCACACACAAGCACGUGGUGAAUCAGGUUCAUUGUUGGAGAGGUUGCGGAGCCACAGAUGCCAUGACUCAAGGCAUGGACAAGGGCCCUCUCCUAUUAAGUUAAAAAAUUGUCUCCUCGAAACUAAAUUAAAAUCAAAAGCUACACACUUUACUCAUAACCUACUCAGACCUUUUACUUAACAUUCAUCAUCUCCACCACAAUGUCACAAACAUAUCAUACAAGCAUUCUAGAGCUAACACAAGUCUAAAGUGAGAAACUUUCGAAACCUAAGACCACAAUGGAGAAGAAAGGAAUCAAUCCAGUUUAUAAACUUCGAGUUUUUUCGGGAGAUUCCAUUAUACAGAUGAAGACAAAAAAAAAACAGAGAGCAAAAUUACGCAAGAGAAAGCAGAGAACUUUGAACAUUAAAAGGAAUCAUACACUGAAAUCCAAGAAAAUGGUUAUACCCAAUUGUAUAAUUGUAUGUUCCAAUACGAAGAAGAAUCAGAAAGAAACCUGUUUAUCUGCGUUUAGCAAAAGCUGAGAAAGAUGAAAUCAAUUUAUACGUCUAAUUCCAUUUUCUAGGGCUUUCAACAAAAAUGAGAGGCAUCUAAACGACAACGUUUCAAUAAAUGGCUGCCUUUAUUGAAACGACAACGUUUCUACCACAACAGAUUGAACCAAAAACACUCUAGAAAACCAAAAAAAAAAAAAACUGAAAAACUAAAGAACAAAAACAUCCCCAAGAAAUCAAUCUGCUACUCUGUCUCUAAGCCAUGACGAUAUGUGUCUUCUCCUUCCUUCUUGUCACAGCAAGAGCUUUAAGAGGAUACUUCAUAACAACAGUGAACUCCCAUUUCUCAGACAAGUCAACUUCAUAACCUUCAACUUCUUUCCACUCAAACUCUUUAACCAAAUUCACCACAAAAUACUCCAAAUGCAACAUGGCCGAUCCAAUCCCUGGACAGAUCCUCCUUCCUGCUCCAAACGGCAUCAUCUUUAUCCCUCUACUUCCAGUAACAUCAACUUCUUUAUCUUCUCCGAUGAAUCUCUCCGGCUUAAACUCCAUUGGCUCCUCCCACACUGUUGGAUCUCUCCCUAUCAUCGCCACAUUGAUAUUAAACGUCCCUUUCUUUGGAACUCUGUAUCCUCCUAGCUCAGUGUCUUCACUUACUCUGUGUGGUAACAACAAAUGUCCCGGUGGAUGUAACCGGAGACCUUCUAACACGACAGCUUUAAGAUACGGCAUCUUCUUCAUCUCUUCUUCUUCAAUCUCCUUCUCUUCUUCUUCACCGAUUACACUUUUUAUCUCUUCGUAUAACCUCUUUUGAAUUUCCUGGUUUCUCACAGAUUCGCCAUUAUCCAUUGAAGUGUCGUCGCUGUUGUAUCAGUCCCGGCGUUGAGAAACUCAGAGCAUAAACUCACGAUCUCGUCUUCGUUUAGUUUCCUCUUCUCAUCAGGAAGCUCAAGAUCGAGCAGAGUAUCUACAUACGAUUGUAUGUAUUCUUUACCGGAAUCUUUAGAUUCGAUCAUGAUCUUUCUCCGGGAACGAAUCAACGGAAGCAAGACGUUCUUGUGUUCUCUCCUGAACGUAAGAAACUCUUCCCAUCUCUUUCUCAGAAACAACUUGGUGAAACUAGGGAAGACAUUGAGGAUGUUGAAUCUUGGUAACGUGAUGAGCUCUCUUCUUUGAACGAAUUCGACUUGUUUGAUCUGUUCUUCGUCAAGCUUAUCUCCGAAACACAUGAGAACAAGAAGCGAGAACAUUGCAUAACGGAGAUGAUCAACGACGACGAUCGGUUUUGCUUCUUCCCCGUGAUUACGAAUUCGAGAACAGAGGUUUUCAAGAACAGAGCGACGAGCGUUGGAAUAAGAUUUGACACGGGAUGGAUGAAGAAUCUCGGAGGUGAGAUUACGACGGAGAAGUCGCCACGUAGCUCCGUAUGAUCCUGAGCUGAUGGUGUGUUGGUUACUAGUGAUGAUCUUUCCGGUAGGAAGCGCCGGUGGACGAUCAGAGAAUACGGCGCCGUUUAAAACAAGAGCCUUGUGAGCCAAGGAACGAUCAGAGACGAAGAUGGCAGGGACGGAAAAGAUGCGGAGAGAGAUGAUUGGGCCGAGACGGUGGUGGAUGGAGCGGAGAUAGGAGUAGAAAUCAUCGAAGCCUUGACGGAGCCACUGGAAGGGACCAGGCAUGGGGAAGAAGUUAGGGUUCGGAGGUAGAGGAAGAUUGUUGUUAGUUCUGCGGAAGAAGAGAUAUAGAAGGAAGUUGACUGUGAAAGAGACGCAGAAGAUGUGAAACCAUGUCGCCAUUUUUCUUGUAUUCUUUCUCUGCUUUUUUUUUGUUAUGCUUUUAGGAUUCUUCCUCUUGAAUUCGUAUAUAUAGCAAAUUCUUCAGAUAACAAUUUGCUAUCGUGACGCUCAAGUAUAAACUGUUUUUAUUUAUAUAUCUAUAGUUCGGAAGACAGAUAAUUUAGAAAUAAGUUUGGAUAAUUGAAAAUAUAUCCGAUUUGUUUGCUUCUUGGGCGACACACCAAGCUCCGGAGAAAGUUAUACGAUCUCUUUGCUACGUUUAGCUUCAUUACUCCAAACCACAAACCCACAUGAAUUUUUGUGACAUCAUCGAACUUUUGUGAUUUUUUUUUAUUUUUGAAGAUAAAGACAAGUUCAAUUAUGAUGUUAUAUCUACCAAGUACCACCAACCAAUGAAAAGAAAUCAAGAUUUCAAGUAGAAUAAAAGUAGAUAAAUAAAUUACAUAAUGAAGAUUAUUCAUCCAACUCUUGUGUUACUUAAUACUCGUUUCGUUGUUAAUCAAAAAUUUCAUUUGGAUUUUAACAAAAAUUAACUAGAUGCUUUCACAUAUGGCUUUCGAUAGAAACGGUGUCAAUAGUAGUAUUACAACACACCACAGAAAAAGGGACGAUCUAUUACAGCGUUUCAAAAUUGUGGUUUGUUUGAUAUUAAGCUUCAGACUGAACGUUUCUGGUCUUGAGACCGAAGAGAUUCUUAAGCAAAUCCGCCGUGUUUGGAGGAAUCUUCGCUGGUCGUGGAGCCAUAAAGUUGACAAUCUUCUCAUGAACAUUAUACCUGUUUCGAUUUUUUACAAGAAAAUGAUUCAAAAGAGAGAAUUAUGGGAAGAGAAAACCUCCAAGAGGUGAAACUAUGUGUGUUUUAUUUACCUGAUCUUUCUGCUCUUUGAGGCACGUCGAUCCACAACUUUCCUCUUCUUCGUCUGGAACUUCUUCAUCUCGUAGAAAGCCGCCUCUGCCAAUGGCAAAUAUUGAGAUUUCAGAAUAUAAAAAAGACUCUUUACACUUGAGUUGUUGGACAUAACAAUCGCUAGGGGGGGUUUCAUAUCUAAUGAUUCUAGGAUGUUUUUCUUUACUAUACCUGAGGAAGCUGGAUCGAUAGUCUCGAGAAACUCCUUUAGUAACUGCCUAUAGAACUCAGCAUCUUCCACAAGUUCAGGGUCUCCUUCUUCUUGUUUUUCCUGGACAAGAAAGAGUACACAUGUUAGAGAAUGGGUAUCAAGAUAAUCAAUGAGAUUGAUUAAAUGUUUAUACUCUUUAUGGUUAGAGAAAACCGUGAUUUUACCUCUGGAUUUGGUUCCAUGGCUUCCUGAGGGACCUGUGGAUGUUUAAAUUUAAAGUCAGGAAAAAUUGAAGAGAAGCUGAUCUAUUGACCACCAAAGGCCAAAUUCUUAGAUGGUUUAUGCUUUUAUUAUCAAAGCAAAAACUUACAGUUCCAAAAACAGCAACAGUAGAUCUUGAUUGUUGCAUCUGUUUAAUCAUUCUACUUGGAUCCCUCAUGUAGGAAGCAACCUGUUCACUAACGUUCUGGUUUUGAAAAUUAAUUUAAAGUUAGAUUCCUGAUUGAUCCCCAGAUAAGAGCAAAAUCAUCUUCGGAGUUUGCUUUCUAUACCUGGUUAAAGGCGUGGAGCUUUCCUUUAAUAGCAGCUGCACCAGUUGUGACUUGUGUUUUUCUCUGCCAUUUGUCCACAGCCUUGUUUCGGAACACAGACAUUCUACAUAGCAAAUACCAAAUUUGUGUUAACGAUGAAACAUAAAUGGUUAUGAGACUGGUCUCCAAAUGAAGUCAAUCAUGCUUUACUAAACAGAAUUCUUUUGAUUGGACAGAACUUUAAAGCUGGACAGUUGAACAUUUAGUCUUGAAUACCUUUUCUGCAAGUCAGAUAUUCGCUGCCAUUCAUCGCUAUCUUCUGCAUCUGAUUUAUUGGAUUCUUCACUAGCUGUUGCUGACAGAUAGAAAAAGAAAGGAGAUGUUAUAUUGACCCUCGCUUAUAGUGAUGAUAAUUAUGUUAUCUGUUAAUAUGGCAUACCAUUCACUUGUUGAUCAACCGAGGGGUUCUUCUCAAACAAAGCCUGUAGAAAUCCAUAUUUAGAUAAUAAUAAUAAAAGUCAACAAACGUGGCAGAGCGACAAAACACUAAGAGACAGCAUACAAUUACUGAAUCAAGCCUAUGCAUACAUACCUCUUGCAACUCCAAGAGGGAAUCUAAUGUCUUCUUAGAUGAAGUAACUAGAUCUGUAUAUGCUGUUGAGACAUCCUCAUCUUCUGAACAAAAUAACGAUUUCACAGGCUCCUGAAAAGGGUACCUUCUGUCAUAAAGUAUGAUGAAACAAACAACCAUAAAUAGAAGAGGAGAAGAGCAUAGCUUACCUGUGGUAAUCUGUUUGAACGAUCAAAUGCUUUCUGAAGUAAGAAUCUGAACUCCAGAAUCUUAUCCCAAAGAGCCUUUACAUAGAGCACAAAGAAAGAAUUGUCAAAAAUUCGCUCUAGAUCAACUUCAUUAACAUAAAAUAGGAAUAUACAACUGCAACUGAUUUCUAGUUAGACUACUUCGCAAACCGCAGAACAAGGUCAUACCUUCUGAUUCUUCACCGCUUGACCUUUAACAGCAUCUUCACCCUUAUCACGCUUCAAGUUCUUCAAUAUAUCCCUAUACCAGGAACACGCAUAUUACACAAAGAACAUUCUUUUGCCUCUCAAUCGUUCAUUUAAAAUUAAAUGAUGCAACCGAAUUAAGACAGUAUCUGACAAAAACUUUUGGCAAAAGUCUGUUCUUUUCCUUUUAAACGUAUAUAUUUUCUACUAAUCACGAAUAAAUCCAAUUGCUAUAAUGAGUUCGAACCUACUUCUAAAUCUAGCCAACAUCCUUGCUGAUCUAGAUUAAACAGUUGAAACUUUAAUACGACUAUCUACCGUUUCUAGAAAGAAACACAUACAAGAAUUCACUAUCUUAGAAAUAACAGUAUUUAAAAAUGAUUAGUUCAAAUGAAAUCUUACUGCUCUUGUGAACGAAGCUCCUUGACCUCUUUCUCAAGCUCUUCCAUCUGAGCAUCUUUAUUGUCAUCAUUACCUUCAUCGCCACUCUCACUCUCUUUAUCAUUUCCAUCUUCAAAGUCCUCGCUUUCUCCAUCCUCGUCUUCCUUGUUCUCUCCUUCAUCAUCUUCCUCGCUAUCUCCUUCAUCAUCUUCCUCGGUAUCUCCUUCAUCGUCUUCCUCACUCUCUCCCUCAUCAUCUUCCAUGCUAUCUACUUCAUCAUCCUCUAUCCCAUCAGGUAAUUGAUCAUCUUCAUUGUCGCUUUCGGCCUAUAAUAUAGAGAACCCUCAACCAAAUAAAUUCACCUAUACCAUCUAAAUAACUUAAACGAGACAAAAGCAACAUAAACAUACCUUAAGGUUUUCUUGGUCGCUUAUGUCUUCCGAUUCACUGUCAAGUCUUGCUCUUUUAGACCUCUUUGACCCCCCAGCCAUUUUAACAACUUUUAAUGCUGCAAUCACGAAAAACUAACUCAAUUGAGGAAGGAGAAACUAUUAUACAGUGGAUUAAGCAAUAAAAAUAUUGAAACAAAUAAAGAAGGACCAAAUAUAGAGCAACAAUGAGGUAACCAUACCAUCAAACAAGCUUUGUCAAAAGCUUCAAACAUAAAAAAAAAAAAAAAAAAAAAAAAAAAAAAAAAAAACAGAGACCUAUAGAUAAUCUCAUAAAAACAGCUCACGUGGAUCAGUCAAAGGGUCUUUGAUCAGUGCAGAAUCACGAGGGUAGCUAAUUGGUGAUAAGGAAGCACAAGGAGACAAAUGUAUAUAGGGAGAAUUCUAGAUUGACAAUCAAUGAUAGAAAGCAACCCCAAGCCUUUAAAAAUCGACCCAUCAGAUUGCACACACAAAUCAGGUUCAUUGUUGGAGAGGUUGCGGAGCCACAGAUGCCAUGGCUCAAGACAUGGACAAGGGCCCUCUCCUAUAAAGUUCAAAGAUUGACUCCUCGUAACUAAAUUAAACAUCAAAAGCCACACACUUUACUCAUAACCUGCUCAGACCUUUUACUUUAACAUUCAUCAUCUCCACCACAAUGUCACAAACAGAUUACAAAGAACAACAUUCUAGAGCUAACACAAGUUUAAAGCAAGAAAACUUUUGAAUCAAACUAGUUUAUGAGUUCGAAUGUUUCAGGAAGAGAAACGAUUAAAUGAAAAAGGGAGAGACUUUGAGCAGAUACGCA